rnacentral:rRNA from 1 species
UGCCAGCCGCCGCGGUAACACGUACCGGACAAACGUUAUUCGGAAUUACUGGGCGUAAAGCGCACGUAGGCGGAUUGGAAAGUUGGGGGUGAAAUCCCGGGGCUCAACCCCGGAACUGCCUCCAAAACUAUCAGUCUAGAGUUCGAGAGGGGUGAGUGGAACUCCGAGUGUAGAGGUGAAAUUCGUAGAUAUUCGGAAGAACACCAGUGGCGAAGGCGGCUCACUGGCUCGAUACUGACGCUGAGGUGCGAAAGUGUAGGGAGCAAACAGGAUUAGAUA